GUUCAUCUAUGAUCUAUCUUCUUUUUUUUAAUUGUACCUUUACACACGGCGGGAAACCGAUAAAUUUGGCGAAAUUCCUCCCUCCAAAAACACCCGAUCCUUCCCAAUCCCCACUUUAAAACCCUAACGCACACUCCUUUCCCAAAAUUUCGAAAAACUUUCAUUCACAUUCACGUUUUCGCAUUCUCUCUCUUUCCCACACUAUUCGUGUGAGAGAAAACAUAGAGAGAGAGAGAGAGCAAAAUCCCAAACCCAAACCCUUAUUUCCAUUUUCGUCACUUUUGCUCUGUCUCUAACAAUGGCACUUGCUCUGAAGAAGCCCCAACAUCUCCACGACGACGACACCACCGUAGACGGCACUCCCGUUCGGUACCUCCCGCUCGACCACGUCUACUCCGCCACCUCGCCCUGCCGCGUCACCGCCAGCGGCUCCUCCGCCUUAAUGUCCAAGAAAAUCAAAGCUCGGAAGCUUCUCUCCACCAAUUUAGACGACAAUACUAACCUUUCCUCGUCUUCUCUUCCUAACAAGCCUCCUCUCCUCUACGUCUACACUCGCCGCCGUAAGCGCCUCCGUCAUUCCCUUCCGAACCCUUCCUUUCUCCGCUCCUUAAUCUCUCGCGACGACGAGGAGUUCGAAGCGCAGGAAUCGAAGGUGGAUGCACUGUCGUUAAAUGCGAAUCAGAAGAAGAAGAAAAAGCAUAGGUUAGGGACUAGUGAGCUUGUCAAAUUGGGCGUGGAUUCCAGCGUCUUGCGUAGCCUUGAUCGGCCGCGAUUGAGGGAUUGUAGAAUUCAUAAUAGUAGUAAUGCUAAUGUUGAUGCUAACAGUAGUAAUUUGAAGAAAAGGAAGCGGAAUUUGGAAAAUUGCGAGAAAGUUUUGUCGGAUUCACCUACCACUAAGCGAUGGAUCAGGUUGAGUUUCGACAAUGUUGAGCCAAAAACGUUUAUUGGAUUACAAUGCAAGGUUUAUUGGCCAUUGGAUGCUGAUUGGUAUUCUGGUCGAGUUGUGGGUUACACCCCAGAGUCUAAUCGACAUCAUGUAGAAUAUGAAGAUAGUGAUAAAGAAGAAUUAAUUCUCUCAAAUGAGAAAGUUAAAUUCUACAUUUCCCACGAAGAGAUGCAGCGUUUGAACUUGACUUGCAGUGUUACGAGUACAGAUGGUGAUGUGUAUGAUUACAAUGAGAUGCUCGUGUUGGCUGCGAGUUUGUAUGACUGCCAAGAGCUCGACCCUGGGGAUAUCAUAUGGGCCAAGCUUACUGGUCAUGCAAUGUGGCCAGCAAUUGUUGUGAAGGAAUCCCUCAUCCGUGAUCGUAAGGGUUUAAGCAAACUUUCAGGUGGAGGGUCAGUUCCGGUGCAGUUUUUUGGCACACAUGAUUUUGCAAGGAUCAAAGUGAAGCAGGUUAUCUCAUUUCUUAAGGGACUCCUUUCUUCUUUCCACCUGAAGUGCAAGAAACCUCGUUUCAUUCGAGGCUUGGAAGAAGCAAAAACGUAUUUGAGCGAACAAAAGCUUCCAAGAAGAAUGCUACAGCUGCAAAAUGGUAUUACCACUGAUAAUGUUAGCACAAGUGAAGAUGAUGGAGCAAGUACAGAUACAGGUGAAGAUUGCAUUGAAGAUGCAGGGAUUCAGGGAGCAACGCAGGGCCUUGGAACUCCUCCCUAUGUAAUUGGGGAUGUGCAAAUUUUAAGCCUUGGAAAGAUUGUCAAGGACUCUGAACAUUUCCAGGAUGAGAGAUUCGUUUGGCCUGAAGGAUAUACUGCCAUGAGGAAGUUUACUUCAAUAGCUGAUCCCAGUACAUGCGCCUUAUAUAAGAUGGAAGUGUUAAGAGAUGCUGAAUCAAAGAUUCGACCUCUAUUUAGAGUGACAUCGGAUACUGGAGAGCAGAUCAGUGAUGACAGUAGGUAUGCUAUUGCAUCACUGAAUCAGUUUGAGGGAUCCACUCCAUCUGAUUGCUGGAAUAAAAUAUACAAAAGGAUAAAGAAAAUACAAACAAGUAGCUCUGAUAGUUCUGGUGCUGACGGUGGAGGAGAAAAGAUUGAUAAAACUGGUUCUGAUAUGUUUGGUUUCUCCAAUCCUGAAGUUGUGAAGCUUAUACAGGGUUUGUCUAAAUCUAGAUUCUCUUCUAAAUUAUCCAUGUCCAAGUUAGCCUCUAGACGACAUCAAGACCUGCCUGUUGGUUACAGACCUGUUCGUGUUGAGUGGAAAGACCUUGACAAGUGCAGUGUUUGCCACAUGGAUGAGGAGUACGAAAACAAUCUCUUCCUGCAAUGUGAUAAAUGCAGAAUGAUGGUCCAUGCUAGAUGUUAUGGAGAAUUAGAACCUGUUGAUGGAGUGCUAUGGUUGUGCAACUUAUGUCGACCAGGGGCUCCCAACCCUCCGCCACCUUGCUGCCUUUGUCCAGUAAUAGGGGGUGCAAUGAAGCCUACAACUGAUGGGCGCUGGGCUCAUCUGGCGUGUGCAAUAUGGAUACCUGAAACUUGCUUAUCUGAUGUCAAAAGAAUGGAGCCCAUUGAUGGGCUAAGUAGAAUCAAUAAGGACCGCUGGAAGCUUUUAUGUAGCAUCUGUGGUGUGUCUUAUGGAGCUUGCAUUCAAUGUUCAAACAAUACUUGUUAUGCAGCAUAUCAUCCACUUUGUGCACGUGCUGCUGGUUUGUGCGUUGAGCUUGAAGAUGAGGAUAGAUUAUAUCUACUAGCUGUAGAUGAUGAUGAAGAAGAUCAAUGCAUUCGUCUGCUUUCCUUCUGCAAGAAGCAUAGGCAGCCCUCCAAUGAGCGUUCUGCUGCUGAUGAACGUCUUGGUCGAGUUUCUCGUCAGUGUUCAGAUUACAUACCACCCUCUAAUCCGUCUGGUUGUGCUCGCAGUGAGCCUUACAAUUACUUUGGUAGAAGGGGACGAAAAGAACCCGAAGCCCUUGCUGCUGCCUCCUUGAAGCGCUUGUUUGUACAGAACCAGCCUUACUUAGUUGGUGGCUACAGCCAACAUGCAUUUUCAGGCAAUUCACUGCCUUCCAGUGGCGUAAUUGGCUCUAAGUUCUCGUCUACCCUUCAGAGACUGAAAACCUCUGAGCUUGAUACUCCUAAAGACAUACGUUCUAUGGCUGAGAAAUAUACAUACAUGAAGGAGACAUUCCGAAAGAGACUAGCUUUUGGGAAAUCAGGAAUCCAUGGAUUUGGCAUCUUUGCAAAGCAUCCACAUAGAGCAGGAGACAUGGUGAUUGAAUACUCUGGUGAACUUGUUAGACCUCCUAUAGCUGAUAGGAGAGAACGCUUUAUAUACAAUUCCUUGGUGGGUGCUGGGACUUACAUGUUUCGGAUAGAUGAUGAACGAGUCAUUGAUGCGACAAGGGCCGGAAGCAUUGCUCAUCUGAUUAACCACUCUUGUGAACCAAAUUGCUAUUCAAGAGUUAUAAGUGUUAAUGGUGAUGAGCAUAUAAUUAUAUUUGCAAAGAGAGACAUUAAAAGAUGGGAGGAACUCACAUAUGAUUACAGAUUUUUUUCAAUUGAUGAACAACUAGCAUGUUAUUGUGGCUUUCCAAGUUGCCGGGGUGUAGUUAAUGACAUUGAAUCGGAAGAGCGAGCAGCAAAGCUAUAUGCACCUCGCAGUGAAUUAAUAGAUUGGAGAGGAGAAUGAGAGAGAAUUCUCAUUGUAAAAAUAUGCUCAUCUAAGAUCCUUCUGAAGACAGAUUGCUUCCUUCCAACAAUCUGCUCAUCAUCUGUUAUUCUUAUCAAGGCAGAUAGGGUUGUAGAGCUCUGGUUUUCCUCCUGUCACCUAUUUGUCAUACCACAACCAAAUGAAAGCUUUUUUCACUAAAGCUGAUUCCUCUUUUUGGUCUGAACAAACUAACUUGAGAAUGGUGUCAAACAGUUUUAACAAAACUUUAAUUUCAAACAUUGAAAAAAGUCAAUCAACAGUGGGAAUCUGAGUAUAAGUGGUGGGGGUGAAGAUGUUUCUCGUAAUUGACUUGCAAAUCUACCUACAACCAUCCAUUGCACUGAUUAUAAUUUGAAGAUGGGUGGAAUAAAGAUCAUAUAGAUCAAGGAAAUGAUGUUAGAGUUAAGGCUAGGGGAGGCCAUUUUCAAAGAAGAAUUUAGAGUGAGAAAAAGGAGAAAGAAGUAGAUGUAUCACGCGUUCAAUUGUGUCAAGGCAGGGUGCAAGCUGGAUGAGUGACAACCAUUGAUUCUUCAAGAGGAAUGAGUGAUAUGAUGAGUGACAAGAUGGAAUUGUCGGUUAGAAAAUGAUGAGAACCAAAUAGAAUCAUGUUGGUCCAAUGCAUGCUGACUGGAAGAGAAUGUACUUGUUGGUGUUAGAGUUGACUGCGUAUUUUUUAGUAUUAGAAGAUGUGUGAUUUGUGGUAUGUAUCAAAUCAAGGAGUUGAAAGAUAGUCUCAUGUGCUUGUAUGGCAGAUGUUUAUUUGUACGAAUUGUAUUGAAUUGUGGUAUCAGUGUGUGUUGUCUGAUUCAUAAACCAGUGGAUUUAUUUUGUGUAUGCGUAGUUUUAUGAUAUUGGAAUCAAGUGGGUUUAUUUUGGGUAA